rnacentral:misc_RNA from 1 species
GUGAAUCAUCAAAUCUUUGAACGCAAAUUGCACUCUCCGGUUUUCCGGGAGAGUAUGCCUGUUUGAGGGUCAGCCUAAAAAAAAUCGACAUUGUUGCUGUUUUAUGGUGACUUUCGUCGGAGAUGGGUUAUCUUAAAUCUCGGUUUAGGCGACUUAAAAAUUUUUUUUUAGGUUUUAAGAAUGGUUAUUAGGUUUUUCUUUUUAGUUUUAGG